rnacentral:rRNA from 1 species
AUUGAACGCUGGCGGCAGGCAUAACACAUGCAAGUCGAACGAGUGGCGGACGGGUGAGUAAUGUCUGGGAAACUGCCCGAUGGAGGGGGAUAACUACUGGAAACGGUAGCUAAUAACGCAUACCAUCGGAUGUGCCCAGAUGGGAUGCGCUAGUAGGUGGGGUAAAGGCUCACCUAGGCAACGAUCCCUAGCUGGUAUGAGAGGAUGACCAGCCACACUGGAACUGAGACACGGCCCAGACUCCGACGGGAGGCAGCAGUGGGGAAUUUUGCACAUUGGGGGAAAGCCUGAUGCAGCCAUCCCGCGUGUAUGAAGAAGGCCUUCGGGUUGUAAAGUACUUUCAGCGGGGAGGCGGUACCGGCAGAAGAAGCACCGGCUAACUACGUGCCAGCAGCCGCGGUAAUUC